rnacentral:rRNA from 1 species
AUGCGAAGGGUGCGGGAAACCCUAGCAGUUCUGGAGCUGCCUCGUGAGCAUGCUCGCACUUUGCCUGGCCAUGGUUGGCGUCCACCGGAGUUGGGUUGGGUUAAAAUUAAUACGGAUGGAAGUAUUGCACUGGAGGCAAGGAGGGGAGGGACAGGAGGAGUUGCACAAUCUCGGUCAUCCUUCUUGGCAGCAUGGUGCAAACCUUACCCUGGGGUCACGGAUCCAUUAAUAGCCGAAGCUCUAGCCCUUCGCGACGGUGUCAUCUUCGCCCGUCUGAGAGGCUAUGCUGAAGUGGUUCUUGAGUCAGACAAUUUGGAGAUUGUGAAUCUCUGGAAUUCGCGCCUGAUAUCCCGUGCGGUGGUGGCGCCUAUCUUAGUUGAAAUUGGGGAGCACGUUCCUUCGUUUAAGUCUUUUGUAGUUCAGCAUGUUGGUAGGGCAGCUAACGUCUCCGCUCAUCUUUGUGCAAAGCAAGCAAGCACAUUAGAUGUUACAGAGUGUUGGCUGGAGUCUACUCCAAGUUUUCUUGUAACCAGCCUCCUAGCAAAUUCUGCUGGAGCUGUUGAUGUUGAAUAA